AACGAACGCUGGCGGCAUGCCUAACACAUGCAAGUCGAACGAGAUCUUCGGAUCUAGUGGCGCACGGGUGCGUAACGCGUGGUAAUCUGCCCUUUGCUUCGGAAUAACAGUGAGAAAUUACUGCUAAUACCGGAUGAUGUCUUCGGACCAAAGAUUUAUCGGCAAAGGAUGAGCCCGCGUAGGAUUAGGUGGUUGGUGGGGUAAUGGCCUACCAAGCCGACGAUCCUUAGCUGGUCUGAGAGGAUGAUCAGCCACACUGGGACUGAGACACGGCCCAGACUCCUACGGGGGGCAGCAGUGGGGAAUAUUGGGCGAUGAGGGAAAACCUGGUACAGCAGUGCCGCGUGAGUGAUGAAGGCCUUAGGGUUGUAAAGCUCUUUUACCAGGGAUGAUAAUGACAGUACCUGGAGAAUAAGCACCGGCUAACUCCGUG
rnacentral:rRNA from 1 species